UUUCAUAUUUCUCUUCCUUGCUUGCUUUUCCUACUAGCCUUUCUCUUAAAAUUGCAAUAUACUUCAGGAUUAGAUAACCAAUGAAAUCAAAACUAUAAUAUUAUAUUAUUAUAAUAACAACAUAUUCAACUUAGUGUCACAACUAAAUAUUCACUGUAAUAACAACAAACCUUAUCCCUACAGAUGACAAAUAGAAUAGUUAUUUCAAACAGACCCUCGGCUCGUGACAAAUAUUUCUUAGAAAAAGUAAGACACACUACUUGGUGUUGGAAAUUUCACUUCUAAUCAUUAUAAACAAUGAUAAAAUCAAACAGAAACAAAAUUACAAAAUUAAAAAAGCAAACAUUGACUUUUUUCCAACUCUUCUCACUGUUCCAAAUUCCACAAAUCUCAAUUCUUGAUAAAAUUAUCGUCGUUGGAAUACAAAUUUUGCACACAUCCCCUCAACAGCAGGUUUGAUGUAACUGGUAAAGUUGUUGUCGCGUGAUCUAGAGGUCACGGGUUCGAGUUGUAAAAUUGUUGUCACGUAAUCUAGAUCAUGCAUGAAUUUCAAGCUAUAAAAAACAACCUCUUGUAGACACAUAUAUAUAAGAUAAGAUCGACUGCAUAUAAUAAAGCCUAGUGAUGCAACCCUUUUUCGGACCGCGCAUAGCGGGAGCUUAAUUCAUCACACCAAUUGAAUAGAAUAGAGCUUUGAAGAACGCAUCUGAAGUCUCUUUUACCACAAAGUACUCACAAAAAAAAAGGGAUCAAUUUUGUAGACUUCAUAACUCCAAAGUCUUCACCAGCUGAAAUAGAAAUUUCCCCAUUUGAAAUUGUCAAAAAAAAGAACAUAUCUGAGAUCUCUUUUUUCACAAAUAUUCACAAUAAAAGGAUCAGGUAAGGCUAGAUAUAAUAGACCCUCAUGGUUUAUCAUUCUACAAAUGCCAUGCAUAACAGAAACUUUAGUGCAUCAAGUUGCCUUCUAUUCACAAGAAAAGGAUCAGUUGAGCCUAUAGACCCUCUACAUAUAAUAGAACCUCGUGGUCUAUACUUCUCACGACCCAUGCAUAACAGAAGUUUUAGUGCAUCGAACUGCCUUCUAUUCAAAGCAAAAGGAUCAGGUAAGACUAGAUAUAAUAGACCCUCGUGGUCUAUCCUUCUACAAACGUCAUGUAUAACAGGAAUUUUAGUGCAUCGAACUGGUUUUUUAUUCACAAGAAAAGGAUCAGGUAAGACUAAAGACCCUCGUGGUCUAUACUUCUCACGCCCCCAUGCAUAGCAGAAAUUUUAGUGCAUCGAGCUGCCUUCUAUUCAAAGCAAAAGGAUCAGGUAAGACUAGAUAUAAUAGACCCUCGUGGUCUAUCCUUCUACAAACGUCAUGCAUAACAGAAAUUUUAGUGCAUCGAACUGAUUUUUUAUUCACAAGAAAAGGAUCAGGUAAGACUACAGACCCUCGUGGUCUAUACUUCUCACGACCCUAUGUAUAGCAGAAGUUUUAGUGCACCGAGCUGAUUAGUCAGCAACAGAAUGACUUUGCCAACACAAGAGCAUGAUGAUACAACGUCUAAGAAUGUAAAAUCUUGUUUUCUGUUGUUUCAUCAUAGUCAAAGAUCGUCGCCGGAAUCCAGUUUUCCGGUGGGUUUUCCGGCGACACUCCGAUGAGGGAAAGAAGAAUGAAAGAAUAGUCAUUGUGGAGAAUUUGGUUGUUUGUUUGAACAAGGAAGAGAAAGAGUGAUUCGUUUGGUGUUUUAUAGGCUCAAGUUGUUAGCCACCUUUUGGACAUAUUAGGGUUUAUUUAUUUUUUUG
rnacentral:lncRNA from 1 species